GGCAUGCCUAAGACAUGCAAGUCGAACGAGACGACCUUAGGAAAACUGAGUGCUUGCACGAAGUUGGAAUGAGAUCAUCGUCUAGUGGCAGACGGGUGAGUAACACGUGGGUAACCUACCUAGAAGUUGGGGAUAACAGUUGGAAACGACUGCUAAUACCGAAUAAGAUAUUCGGUAUUGAAAGAAGCCCUUAAAGCUUCACUUUUUAGAUGGGCCUGCGGCGUAUUAACUAGUUGGUGAGGUAAUGGCUCACCAAGGUAACGAUGCGUAGCCGAACUGAGAGGUUGAACGGCCACACUGGGACUGAGACACGGCCCAGACUCCUACGGGAGACAGCAGUUAGGAAUAUUCGUCAAUGGGGGAAACCCUGAACGAGCAAUGCCGCGUGAGUGAUUGGAAGGCCCUAUGGGUUGUAAAACUCUGUUGUAUGGGAAGAACGGCUAUAUUAGGAAAUGAAUAUAGAGUGACGGUACCAUACGAGAAAGCUCCGGCUAACUACGUGCCAGCCGCCGC
rnacentral:rRNA from 1 species